UUGAUGGAGAUGGUCUUAGU
rnacentral:siRNA from 1 species